GUAGGUGAACCUGCGGAAGGAUCAUUAACACGUUAUCACACGUUAAAUCAACCACGCGAACUUAUACAGUUUGGGUUAACAGAGGGACUGAUAACUUCCUUCUUUCCCAUCAACUGUUGUGUUUUGUCAUUUUUUGACAAACCUUAAUCACCCUCUUUUUUAUAAUCUUUUCUUUGGGGUGAUGCAAAUCAUCCCAAAAAAAGUUAUAAAAUAUCCUAAUGGGAGCUAAUCUUUUAAUAACUAACUCAAAACAACUCUUAGCAACGGAUAUCUUGGUUCCC
rnacentral:misc_RNA from 1 species